rnacentral:rRNA from 1 species
GGCACGUGGGGGGCGUGCUUACACAUGCAAGUCGAACGAUGAAGCCCUUCGGGGUGGAUUAGUGGCGAACGGGUGAGUAACACGUGGGCAAUCUGCCCUUCACUCUGGGACAAGCCCUGGAAACGGGGUCUAAUACCGGAUAAUACUGCGGACCGCAUGGUCUGCGGUUGAAAGCUCCGGCGGUGAAGGAUGAGGCGGCUGCUUCUCGGCUUGUUUGUGAGGUAGUGGCUCACCAUGGCGACGACGGGUAGCCGGCCUGAGAGGGCGACCGUCCACAUUGGGACUGAGACACGGCCCAGACUCUUACGGGAGGCAGCAGUGGGGAAUAUUGCACAAUGGGCGAAAGCCUGAUGCAGCGACGCCGCGUGAGGGAUGACGGCCUUCGGGUUGUAAACCUCUUUCAGCAGGGAAGAAGCGAAAGUGACGGUACCUGCAGAAGAAGCGCCGGGCUAACUACGUGCCAGCAGCCGCGGUAAUACGUAGGGCGCAAGCGUUGUCCGGGAAUUAUUGGGCGUAAAGAGCUCGUAGGCGGCUUGUCGCGUCGGUUGUGAAAGCCCGGGGCUUAACCCCGGGUCUGCAGUCGAUACGGGCAGGCUAGAGUGUGGUAGGGGAGAUCGGAAUUCCUGGUGUAGCGGUGAAAUGCGCAGAUAUCAGGAGGAACACCGGUGGCGAAGGCGGAUCUCUGGGCCAUUACUGACGCUGAGGAGCGAAAGCGUGGGGAGCGAACAGGAUUAGAUACCCUGGUAGUCCACGCCGUAAACGGUGGGCACUAGGUGUUGGCGACAUUCCACGUCGUCGGUGCCGCAGCUAACGCAUUAAGUGCCCCGCCUGGGGAGUACGGCCGCAAGGCUAAAACUCAAAGGAAUUGACGGGGGCCCGCACAAGCAGCGGAGCAUGUGGCUUAAUUCGACGCAACGCGAAGAACCUUACCAAGGCUUGACAUACACCGGAAACGGGCCAGAGAUGGUCGCCCCUCUUGUGGUCGGUGUACAGGUGGUGCAUGGCUGUCGUCAGCUCGUGUCGUGAGAUGUUGGGUUAAGUCCCGCAACGAGCGCAACCCUUGGUUCUGUGUUGCCAGCAUGCCUUUCGGGGUGAUGGGGACUCACAGGAGACUGCCGGGGUUCACUCGGAGGAAGUUGGGGACGACGUCAAGUCAUCAUGCCCCUUAUGUUUUGGGCUGCACACGUGCUUACAAUGGCCAGGUACAAAGAGCUUGCGAAGCCGUUAAGGCGGAGCGAAUCUCUAAAAGCCUGUGUCUCUCAGUUUCGGGAAUUGGGGUCUGCAACUCGACCCCAUGAAGUCGGAGUUGCUAGUAAUCGCAGAUCAGCAUUGCUGCGGUGAAUACGUUCCCGGGCCUUGUACACACCGCCCGUCACGUCACGAAAGUCGGUAACACCCGAAGCCGGUGGCCCAACCCCUUGUGGGAGGGAGCGUCGAAGGGUGAACCGGGG